rnacentral:rRNA from 1 species
UACGUAGGGUGCGAGCGUUGUCCGGAAUUAUUGGGCGUAAAGAGCUUGUAGGCGGUUUGUCGCGUCUGCUGUGAAAAUCCGGGGCUCAACCCCGGACUUGCAGUGGGUACGGGCAGACUAGAGUGUGGUAAGGGAGACUGGAAUUCCUGGUGUAGCGGUGAAAUGCGCAGAUAUCAGGAGGAACACCGGUGGCGAAGGCGGGUCUCUGGGCCGUAACUGACGCUGAGGAGCGAAAGCGUGGGGAGCGAACAGG